CCGUGCUAAGUGGGGAGGUAGCGGUUCCCUUUUCCCGAAAUCCGCUCUAUGCGGGGCUGAAUUCCCACAGGAGGGGAUAUUUCGACGAAGGAAAGGGUCCUCUGGUAUGUUGAGGUCUGGACCCCGCGCAACGGCUGCUCUCGAACCCCGUCAGGUCCGGAAGGAAGCAGCGGUAAGAGGUGAUAUGCUCGUGUGCCGCGGGAUUAUCUGGACUGAGUAUCGGGGGUUACCUGGUCGUUGGAGGAUUCCUCGAUUGUGGGUGCACGG
rnacentral:SRP_RNA from 1 species